UGAUGAUGAUCCGGUUUGUGAGCCGGUAUCAUAAAGUUGUCUGUCCCGGCAUCUCCGCCCGGGAACAGCUCAAAUCAGAAGAGUACACAAUGCCAGACUUUUGUGCUGAUGCUCUCAUGAAAGAAAUGCCAAAACCAAGCAGCAGGAAAUAACAUUUCACAGGUUCCCAAAAGAUAAGGUUAAAAUACAGGCAUGGAUGGUAGCCUUGAAGAGAGAGGACUUUGAGCCAACUGACUGCUCGGUUAUUUGCAGCUGCCAUUUCCAGUCAGAAGACUUCGACAGAACUGGACAGACAACUCGUUUAAAGGAAGGAGCGAUCCCGUCAUUUUUUGACCACCUUUUAAAGAUUAGGGUGUGUGGGGAUCAUUUCACUAAAGACUGCUACACCAAGACCAUUCUAGGAAUCAAGAAGCGGAAGGGGGGGAAUGUGUCGUCCUCGUUUGAGUCUGGCAGGAGGAAAAGGGAUCAGAUCAAGUCAUGUAGAUGCUGCUCCCUGUGGACAGGAUGCACCUGAAAAGGACGUAGGCUGUAAAUCAAGAAUAGUAGAGACAAGUAUGCCGUAUGCAGAUCAUGAUUACAGCCAAAGACCCCCGUCAUUGGAGGAGCAGCUUCAAGAGGCCCAAAAGACCAUUGUGUGACAAGAAGAAGAGCUUUUGAAACUAAGAAAGAACUGGUUCUUUCUUGAAUGAUUCCAAUGUGAUGACAGGCUAAUUAUGUUCUACACGGGGUUUAAAGAUUAAAUAACUCUCAUGGCUGUUUUUAUGGCUUUGCAACCUACAGCUGAAAGCAUGUUAGGAUGGGGCCAAUCACUAGCAGAUCAACACAUUAUAAGAAAGGGAUUUGAAGAGCAAAGCCUACCUCUCAUCGACCAGUUUUUUCUCUUUCUGUGCCAUUUGAGGCAGGGUUUUUUAGUACAGGACCUUGCUACUCGUUUCAAUGUAUCACAGGCAACUGUCAGCAGAAUUUGUAUCACUUGGACAAACUUUCUCUAUUGCAUGUUAGGCUCUAUCCUUGUUUGGCCUUCACGAGAAAAAGCAAAUGAACUCUUGCCUCUUUCUUUCAAAAAUACUUUUCCACGAACAAAAGUGAUAUUAGACUGUACAGAAUUACAUGUAAAAAGGGCCACUUCAAAAGUACUGAAUUCAGAAACCUACCCCUAUUAUAAAGGAACAAUCACAUUUAAGUCCUUAGUGGGCAUAAGCCCAUAGGGUGAACUUACUUUCGUCAGUGACUUAUAUAUUGGGUCAAUAUCGGACAAAGAAAUCACAGACGUCUGGGAUUCUCUCUUUGUUAGAGGAAGGGGACGAGGUAAUGGCAGACAAAGAUUUCUUUAUUGGGGACCUUUUGUCUCCCAUUAAUGUCCGUCUUGUAACACCAGCAUUCUCAAAGUCUAAUAGGAAGCUUACCCCAGAGGACAAGUUGCAGACACAAGAGAUUGCUCGCCUUAGGAUUCAUGUUGAACGGGCCAUUAGAAGAAUUAAAGAGUACCACAUUUUUGAUAGAACAUUACCCACUUUUGGGUCUAUAAACCAAGUCUGGACGGUGUGUGCCCUCCUCACCACUUUUCAAGGACCAUUAUUCUGAACCAUAAUGUACACACAACUGCCUUGACUUCUCUACAUGCAUCUGCUAUUGUAGUGUUUAUUUCUUGUGACAUUGUUCAGGCAGUUACAGGCUACCAAAUUACUUUUUAAACAUUUUUGUAUAAAAGCAUCUUCCAAAAUGCAUACAUGUAAAUAAACUUGCCACUUGGGAAAAGGUUAAGACUUGCCUUUUGUUAUUUAGGUAAAAAAAAUGAUAAAUUGCCAUCUAGAUCUUGCUUAAUGUAAGAAAAAAAUGUACAUGAUUGUCUUUAUCUAUUUCCAAGAGGCCAUGAAGGCUAUCCACAGAUAGGUCAAUCAUUCUCUUGUCUGGGGUUGUGCCUAAGUGGGGAACAUUGAGGUUUGAUCACAAAUCCACAUGGCUGGAUGCUGUGUAUUGUUCUGCAGUUACUAGUGCCAUUGCAAUGACCCAGCAUUGCUUAUUUUUUUUUUCCAGAAGCAUUGCUUUUGUUUGUACUGUUCUUUUAUACCUCCGUAAAUUGACAAUGCUAUCAAAGUCCCCUUAUCUUGAGCACACCCUUUUAAAGUUUGACGAUGUAAUACCCUCAGAACGAAUGACCGAUCCUAGAGUAACAAAACCAUCAAACAAAAAACAGGUUGUGUGUCAGGUGUGCUACAGCAGAAUUGUGGAAAGUAUUAAGAGCUGGACUGGAUUGAGAACUCUGUCCUAGCUUUAGACAUAACUUGACAAACAAGCUCCAACACGUCAACCAUCCUGUCUACAUCUUUUCUCAUGGACGGAGCAGUACAGCUGUGCUCUCUAAACCUGACUUAAAGGAAUGGGAUUCACAAAACCAGAGAAAGCCAUUAGAGCGGUUAAGACGUCACGGAUCACCUGGCAUUCUUUUUUGUUUUCCCGGUGUCUUAGUCGUCAGCUAGUUGGUGGACGCCUGACACUGCUAUACACGUUAUGUAAAACGUGUUUCGCUUGGUGGCUGAGCUGAUCACUGUUAUGUAUACCACAGAGAGACAAAGCUAGAUAACAAUGGCAAUAAAUGAUAUUCUCCAGCAUUAUAAUUGUUAGCCAGCUUCUUGUUCACCCAUCCUAGGUAAAUAUUCAGCUGUGCUACGGUGACAAAUAGCUAACUAGCAAUAUUACAUUACGUUCAACCCUUUUAAUCACAGGGCUAUCUCUGACAUGAUACACAGAGUUUGGAAAUCCUGUAGAGUUUUUCUCAGAGGAAAAUCAUUGUUGUCUGGGAUUUGGUAUGGAAUUUAUUUUUAAACUUAAGUUUUGAAGUAGACCGAUCUUUUAUCACAUCCUGUAGGCUUUUAUAAUUGAAACAUGAAGCUCAGGUGACAUUUUGAGACACCGGGUGAAAGACUGACAGGAAUGGACGGUCCUGAGGGAGUUAUAAGCGGAGCGAGAAGUUUUAAGUGAUUCACAGUUUUCUGCCUACAUGCCUGUUGAUGUGCAGGAACUAUGUACAAUCAUUAAUCAAAACGUCACGUUUGCUGUGCACAUGAGCAUGGAGGUUUUAGUGAUAGUUUACAUUUUGUGCUGGUUGCACAAAAAAAACAAACAAGCUUUUAGUUGGACAUGUUGCACCUGAGCAUAGAAACUGUCCACGAUGUGUUGCCAAAUGGUUAGUCUUUUGUGAGUGAGAGUGGCAAGCGCAAAACAUCCAGUCAGGCAACAAGAGAGUUGCUUGAGUGCACGAGGCAGAAGGACACGAAUGAAGAGUGAGGUGGGAGGAGUCCUCGACAAGUCUCCAGGGAUGGAGAUGAGUGAGAGGGGGAGAGAAAGGGAUAAGGGGAGCUUCGCUUGUAGAGAGCUGACCUCUGUACCUUUUUAAGAUAUCUACUGAAAUAACCCAGUACCAAGUAGUAUUAAAACAUCUCACUCAUUCAACCGAUACCUGCAAUCAAGCCUUUUUGUGCCCAGGUCUAGAACAUAAAAUACUAUUUGUAGAAUUUAGCUCGAAGCCAAUCACAGCAAAUAAUCUUCAAUAUAAUGCGAUGCGACUACAACAGCAGCUACAACUCAUACAUAGUAAUGUCCAUAACAGACCAUAGCAGUUUAUAUUGCUGCUGUGUGAACAGCUCUCAUUAGAAUUACACUGCAGUCAUUUCUUUUACAAAGACAUUUCCACUUCCCUUUCAACCCUCCAAAAGCAUGUUCAACAACACAACAAGUGCAACUUGUUUUUUUCAGUUGUUUCACAACCAGUGUCAGGCUGGGGUUUCUCUGCAGUCAGUCCCCAAUAAUGAAAUGGCCUUCAUCAGUACCACGUUUCUAAUUCUGACGGAGAAGAAUUAGUGGUGCUGUCCAAAGAUCAAAUAUGUGAUUUUCUGAUCACAUUGGCGUUACGUUCCCGUCCAGGUUGUCCAACAGUUAUGUCCCAAAAAAUCCCUUUCAGAUCUACAACAGCUUUUAAUAAGAUGUUAGUGUCGACCUUUUCUGUUGCAUAACAAUAUGUUACUGUGGAUGUUUUAGUAUAAGGAUGUGAGAACCAUCUAUCGCACCCACACACAGGAAUUCCAAAUCUGUCUUCAAGAUAAUCUAACUUCUCAGCCAGCUUUACCUUGUUGGGUGUUUGACUUAAUAUAGGCCCAAGGUGUGACAUCAUAGCCUUACAAACUGUGCAAAAACUCACAGCAAACAGGUUUCACACUGUCCUGUCGGUAGUUGAAGCCAGUUUGUACAGUGCAAUGAUGUGUCUUGACGCUGUAUUGCAAGCUUCAGUGUUGCACAGAUGUAUUUAGAUGUUUCUCUGGAAAAACUGAAGUCCACUAGCCACUUAUCUGUGCAAUUUUGCGCUUUGUUCUCCCAGAGUUGCGGGUAGGCCCACACCUUUGAUGUCCCGUUUAUGAAGUAAUGCAUGAUCUGAAGAAUAACAAAAGAAAGGUACACAUUAGUUGUCAAGAUAUGAUGAUGGUAUGGGGGAUCAUUAUUUAAGUAGACCACAUAUUUGAGCUUCCAUAUACAUCAUUUAAUGCUUUGUAAUUAAAGUAUCCAACAUUAUUUAAAAAAAAUAUUCCACAAUAUUCUGUAGGGUUCCAAUG